UUUUUUUGAGAGUGAAAAUUAGUGCAGUGUAUUUAGAGACCAAGGAGGUGCGACCCGUAAAUAAAGCUUUUGAAAUGUCAAAAUAUCAGUUAAAUCUCCUAAAUCAUCAUAAGCAUAGAGAGAAUGACAUUUCAAAAAAUAAGUAUAGAGAGAAUAACCAUUUAUCAAAGCACCUAGAGUUUGGAGCCAAACAUCCUUGAUCGUAUCAAAAGAAAAUUUGAUGCACUCACGUGCUAUGGCCUCCAAAUAUGUAUAAG
rnacentral:lncRNA from 1 species